rnacentral:rRNA from 1 species
GACGAACGCUGGCGGCGUGCUUAACACAUGCAAGUCGAACGGAAAGGCCCUGCUUUUGUGGGGUGCUCGAGUGGCGAACGGGUGAGUAACACGUGAGUAACCUGCCCUUGACUUUGGGAUAACUUCAGGAAACUGGGGCUAAUACCGGAUAGGAGCUCCUGCUGCAUGGUGGGGGUUGGAAAGUUUCGGCGGUUGGGGAUGGACUCGCGGCUUAUCAGCUUGUUGGUGGGGUAGUGGCUUACCAAGGCUUUGACGGGUAGCCGGCCUGAGAGGGUGACCGGCCACAGUGGGACUGAGAUACGGCCCAGACUCCUACGGGAGGCAGCAGUGGGGAAUAUUGCACAAUGGGCGGAAGCCUGAUGCAGCAACGCCGCGUGCGGGAUGACGGCCUUCGGGUUGUAAACCGCUUUCGCCUGUGACGAAGCGCGAGUGACGGUAAUGGGUAAAGAAGCACCGGCUAACUACGUG